AAGGGUGCUAGGUGUGCAUCCACACAGUCUGUCUUUGGGACCCAUGAAGACUUAGGAGGGUAUGAAAAUCAUGCAUAUUAGUGGGUGCCACAGUGGAGCAAUGUCUGUCGGUGUUGACUUGGUCUUUAAUCAUCGCCUGGGGCUGAUGUAGACCAAAUGAGAGAGGGAGGCAGAGAUUACGGCAAGAUUUCACAUACCUUCAGAGCUUUGUGUAAUGCUGACUCACCCUUGGCUUUUGCAACUGCACUGCAGAGGAAUUGUCCAGGAGCGCUGUCUGGAGGAGAGACUCUCAAAAGUGGACCUGAACAUCCUUCUAAGCAGACGUGAACAGUCCUCAGCUUUCCUGCCUCCUGCAUAACUGGCUUACCAAGGGAAAAGAAGUCACGUAUCAGUCUACUGUCCUCAUGCGAAGGAAAGCGAGACCGACGAGACCGCGAUCAUUGUCGAAAUCAGGCAUUAGCUGUACAUCUGGGAGCGGAGCAGUCACCGCUGUCAGUGAGAUAAAUGUCUGGUUUGGUGAGGGAUCUGCUCAUGGCCCACCUGGCUCCAGUUUGCAGCGGAAUUGUGCAGGAGUCUCAGCUGGAGAAGAAGCUGUCAGAAGUGGACCUGAACUGCCUGGACAUCCUUCUAAGGAGACAUGAACAGUCCUCAGCUUUCUACAUUCUGGAUAACUGGCUAUGAGUAAGAACAGUCACACAUCAGAGUCUACUGUCCUCAUGCGAUGGAAAUUUGCAGAGGAAUCGUCCAGGAGCCCCAGCUGGAUGAGAAUGUCAGAAGUGGACCUGAGCAGCCUGGACAUCCUUCUAAGGAAACAAGAAUAGUCCUCAGGUUUCUGCCUUCUGCAUAACUGGCUUACCAAGGAAAAAGACAUCACAUGUCAAAGUCUACUGCCCUUAUGAGUGAGAGUGACGAGAAUGCGAGCAUUGUUGGUGCCAGGCAGGAGCCGUCCAUCUGGGAGCAGAACAG